rnacentral:rRNA from 1 species
AACGGGGAAGAGCCCAGCGCUGAAUCCAUCGGCCACUGGUCGCUUGGAGUUGUAGCGUAUAGGUGCGGCUGUCCGCUUGUUUCGCGCACCCAAAGUCCCCUUGAGUGGGGCCACAGUCCAAAGAAGGUGCUAGACCUGUACGGGUGGCGAGACGGUCGGUUGGUCGCUCCUUGGAGUCGGGUUGCCUGGGAUCGCAGCCCAAAGUAGGUGGUAGACCUCAUCUAAGGCUAAAUAUGGCCACGAAACCGAUAGCAAACAAGUACCGUGAGGGAAAGUUGCAAAGAACUUUGAAGAGAGAGUUCAAGAGGGCGUGAAACCGCUAAGAUGGAAACGGAUAGAGUUGACGGAGCUCUACCGCAUUCAUCCGAUCGACCCAGCGGCCCGAUAGUUUUGACUUCCUCGAUGAGGGUAAGACUAUCGAUAGUUGUUGGGUAUUGGAUUGGUGUAUUUGCGGUUGGUAUGCGCUGAGGGCUUUGCGAGCGCAUCUCGACGGGUGUGCAGUGGACCAUACCUUCCCGGUGUGGAACCCUUCAUGCUCUUAGGCAUGUCGCUUGUAAAGUUGAACAAAUGCCGUCUCCGCUAUGGUGCAUCAGCUUUGAUGAGUUGCUUUGGCUUCAAGUUAGUCGCAUGCGACUGCUAGUCGUCAUUUGUAGCUUGUUGGAGUGUAGAUGCGCCGAGGCGUGCACCUCGGUGUGAACGUCGACCACCUAUCCGACCCGUCU